UACGUAGGAGGCGAGCGUUGUCCGGAGUUACUGGGCGUAAAGGGUGCGCAGGCGGCGGUUCGCGUGGCGAGAUGAAAUCUCCUGCUUACCUGGGAGGGUGGUCGCCAGACGGGAUCGCUUGAGGGUCGGAGAGGGGCGUGGAAUUCCGGGUGGAGCGGUGAAAUGCGUAGAGAUCCGGAGGAACACCGACGGCGUAGGCAGCGCCCCUGGACGACACCUGACGCUGGAGGCACGAAAGCUGGGGGGAGCGAACAGG
rnacentral:rRNA from 1 species